UACGUAGGGUGCGAGCGUUGUCCGGAAUUAUUGGGCGUAAAGGGCUCGUAGGCGGUUUGUCGCGUCGGGAGUGAAAACUCAGGGCUUAACCCUGAGCCUGCUUCCGAUACGGGCAGACUGGAGUACUGCAGGGGAGACUGGAAUUCCUGGUGUAGCGGUGGAAUGCGCAGAUAUCAGGAGGAACACCGGUGGCGAAGGCGGGUCUCUGGGCAGUAACUGACGCUGAGGAGCGAAAGCGUGGGGAGCGAACAGG
rnacentral:rRNA from 1 species